GUCCCUUCGGGGACAUCCGAUAAAAUUGUAACGAUACAGAGAAGAUUAGCAUGGCCCCUGCGCAAGGAUGACAUGCACAAAUCGAGAAAUGGUUCAAUUUUUU
rnacentral:snRNA from 1 species